GUGCUGGCUUUGGCAAUACAUAUACUAAAAUUGGAAUGAUACAGGGAAGAGUAGCAUGGCCCCUGUACAAGGAUGACAUACAAAUUUGUGAAGCAUUCCAUAUUUUU